UACGGAGGGUGCAAGCGUUAUCCGGAUUCACUGGGUUUAAAGGGUGCGUAGGUGGGUUGGUAAGUCAGUGGUGAAAUCUCCAGGCUUAACUUGGAAUCUGCCAUUGAUACUAUCAAUCUUGAAUACCGUGGAGGUCAGCGGAAUAUGUCAUGUAGCGGUGAAAUGCUUAGAUAUGACAUAGAACACCAAUUGCGAAGGCAGCUCGCUACACAUAUAUUGACUCUGAGGCACGAAAGCGUGGGGAUCAAACAGG
rnacentral:rRNA from 1 species